rnacentral:lncRNA from 1 species
CGGAGCUAGGACUGCACAUGCGCGGAAGGAGCCAAGAGGACGGUGUGCGGAGUUCCGCGCCGAGCCAGCUGGAGACAAGGCUGCGUUUUCCAUCAACCUUGCUGCCCGACCUGAGAUGACUGUUAGGGCUUUUCUGUAUUUUAAAAGCAACUGGAAGAUUGUGCCUUUUAAACUUGAAACUGCCAAGAGAAGUCCAGCAGCCCGACCUCUGGUGCUCAACUCAAGAAACCUGAGUUGACUGACCAAUUGAUUGCAGAGCCGCAGAAGGAAAAUGGUGACAAGAGGGGAAGUGGUUGACACGGCAGAAUUGCAGUCAAGCUUGAAGAUCUUUCAGAAUUAGGUGGAAAGUGAGAACAAUGAAGUAAGAUGAUGGACCCCUGAGAAGAUUUCUUUUUUAAACAAAGGAGCUUUGGAAAACCUAAGGUGGAGGUAGAUAAGGAAAGUUUGGGGGAUGUGUGCAUGCAUUGCUGUGUGAAUAAAGCUAAGUUGCC